rnacentral:rRNA from 1 species
GACGAACGCUGGCGGCGUGCUUAACACAUGCAAGUCGAACGGAAAGGCCCUGCUUGCAGGGUACUCGAGUGGCGUACGGGUGAGUAACACGUGGGUGUUCUGCCCUGCACUUCGGGAUAAGCUUGGGAAACUGGGUCUAAUACCGGAUAGGAGCCAUCCUUAGUGUGGUGGUUGGAAAGUUUUUUCGGUGUAGGAUGAGCUCGCGGCCUAUCAGCUUGUUGGUGGGGUAAUGGCCUACCAAGGCGGCGACGGGUAGCCGGCCUGAGAGGGUGUACGGCCACAUUGGGGCUGUGAUACGGGCCAGACUCCUACGGGGGGCAGCAGUGGGGAAUAUUGCACAAUAUGCGCAAGCGUGAUGCAGCGACGCGGCGUGUGGGAGGAAGGCCUUCGGGGUGUAAACUCCUUUCGCGAGGGAGGAAGCUUGUUUGUGACGGUACCUAGAUAAGAAGCACCGGCUAACUACGUG